AACGAACGCUGGCGGCAUGCCUAACACAUGCAAGUCGAACGAGACCUUCGGGUCUAGUGGCGCACGGGUGCGUAACGCGUGGGAACCUGCCCUUAGGUUCGGAAUAACUCCCCGAAAGGGGUGCUAAUACCGGAUAAUGUCUUCGGACCAAAGAUUUAUCGCCUUUGGAUGGGCCCGCGUUGGUUUAGCUAGUUGGUAGGGUAAAAGCCUACCAAGGCGACGAUCCAUAGCUGGUCUGAGAGGAUGAUCAGCCACACUGGGACUGAGACACGGCCCAGACUCCUACGGGAGGGAGCAGUGGGGAAUAUUGGACAAUGGGCGAAAGCCUGAUCCAGCAAUGCCGCGUGAGUGAUGAAGGCCUUAGGGUUGUAAAGCUCUUUUACCCGGGAUGAUAAUGACAGUACCGGGAGAAUAAGCUCCGGCUAACUCCGU
rnacentral:rRNA from 1 species